ensembl:lncRNA
GUCACAGAAAAAUGAAACUGUGACUGGUUUUCACAAUGUAUGUAGCUGAUCUCAUGCUCUCCUAUUAUGAUGUUUCUGACAGUGAUAAAAUAUCACUCUCCCUCCCUGGGGAAUCAGGGGAGUCCUCACCCACCCACCUCCUACGCAAGUAUCUUUUAGGGACACCGGCCCACCACUGUGGACUUUAUGCAUGUCCACCUGAUACUACAAGUUGCAUUGACCAGAACACAGAUUUUGUUCUUCUGUGUCAAUACCCGUUUCUUUUCUGAAGGUCAGAAGUUGGUUAAGGGUUUGGGGGACCGGCUAGACACUCUUCUUAUCCCAUGGAGCCGAUUGGAAGUUCCAUGAGGGGAGGAAAUUGAUGUCAAAGUGUCAUUUUAAAGCUUAAGCUGAAAGUUUAUUUUUAAAAUUUUCAUUCAUUCAUUUAGCAUAUAUUUAUUGAGCAUCUACAAUGUGCCAGGUUGUAGAAUUCCAUCUCAGAAGAGACUUGACUUAUGGAUGGUGGAGGGGACAGUCCUGCUCGGAAGCAGAUGAUGUGAAAUGUCCCUUUCCAGUCUGGUUCAUGACAUUUAACAGAUUUUUCAGGUCACCACUGUGACCCCAAGCCUUGCUGGCAGAUUGUUAUAUAGUAUUGACUGAGAGCCCCGCCCUCUGGUAAAGGCAGUUAAAAAGCCUGCAAUCUCGACUCAUUUCCAGCAUGAACAGACUGGUCCUUGCUGCUUUACACAAUAGUCAAAGCUACCUUUGAUGGCGCACUCGCCACUCCCAAGCCCUGGGCGAAGUGCUUUACCAUCUUCCCCUCCGCGAUGCCUCAUGCCCACUUUAGCAGAUAGUACUGUUAUCAUUCCCAUUUUACAGUGGAGGAAGCUGAGGCUCAGAGAGGUUGAGCAACUUAGCUGAAGGCCACACCACCAGCGAAGUACCUGAGCCAAGAUUUGGACUCGAGUCCAUGGGACCCCCAUGCUCAAGAGCUGACUGCUCUGCUCCACUGGUUCCCUGCAUGAGGUCACCCACAGCACUGCUAGUUCCAGGGCGAGUGCCAGCACAUGGCCCCGCUGGGAGCCGGGGGCCUGACUUAGGUCCACUGGAAAAAGUGUCACCUUUGGGGACACUCAAGGACAGGCUGGUUGGAUUUGUUGUGGAUUUUAUAUACUCAUGCCCUCCCCCUGUGUUCCUGGUUUCUAUAAGGUCCCAGGGAAGGUGCAUGGAAUUUGCAAAUAGGGCCUGUAUGACUUAUUUCCUAGGACACAGGAAGCUUUUCUUACCUCCUUCCUACCCUCUUCUCCAACCUGAACUCCCAAGUUCCUUCUCCCGAAGAUCUUUUGCACUAUAAGCGCCAAGGAAGCUGUGCGCGUGGCAGGGACGGCUGGGAGGGUAUCUGGAGAACCGUAGUGAGGCCUCUGGCCUAGCCAGAGCGGCAAUAAGCUUGGGGAUGUUCCGUUCCGGGUUCUGACGUUGUUGGUUCUGACGUCGUUGUGCUCUUUUGUAAGAGGAAUUUCAUACCUUGGAGACGCUUUGUACAUAUUUGUAAUGACUUUAUUAAAAAAUUGGUUGUGCACUUC